rnacentral:rRNA from 1 species
GACGAACGCUGGCGGCGCGCCUAACACAUGCAAGUCGAACGGAGUCAAGAGGAGCUUGCUUUUCUUGACUUAGUGGCGAACGGGUGAGUAACGCGUGAGUAACCUGCCCUGGAGUGGGGGACAACAGUUGGAAACGACUGCUAAUACCGCAUAAGCCCACGGAUCCGCAUGGAUCUGCGGGAAAAGGAUUUAUUCGCUUCAGGAUAGACUCGCGUCCAAUUAGCUAGUUGGUGAGGUAACGGCCCACCAAGGCGACGAUUGGUAGCCGGACUGAGAGGUUGAACGGCCACAUUGGGACUGAGACACGGCCCAGACUCCUACGGGAGGCAGCAGUGGGGGAUAUUGCACAAUGGGGGAAACCCUGAUGCAGCGACGCCGCGUGGAGGAAGAAGGUUUUCGGAUUGUAAACUCCUGUCGUUAGGGACGAUAAUGACGGUACCUAACAAGAAAGCACCGGCUAACUACGUG